AUGCCGGGGUUCGUUGCCGUGGGAGAAGAUCGUUGUGUCGCCAGCAUUAAGGGCGGCGCGGUGAUCGAAGCGUGGCGGAUGUGGAUCGACAGUAUGCGGAUCACGACGGUAUGGUCGAUCGGAGGAGGAGAGCUGUGUGAGGAUGCGGGGACUGCCGACAGCGCGGUUUGGUUGCUGUUAACAGCGGAGCAGCUGGCGUUUGAUUAUGUUUUCCAAACCUUCUUCUUCUUCUCAUUUUCUUAA